rnacentral:rRNA from 1 species
GUCCACGCCCUAAACUAUGUCAACUGGUUGUCGGGGAGUUGAUUCCCUUCGGUAACGAAGCUAACGCGUGAAGUUGACCGCCUGGGGAGGUACGGUCGCAAGAAUUAAAACUACAAAGGAAAUUGACGGGGACCCGGCACAAGCGGUGGAUUAUGUGGAUUAAUUCGAUGCAACGCGAAAAACCUUAACCUACCCUUGACUUGUAGCGAACCUCGCAGAGAUGUGAGGGUGCCCGAAAGGGAACGCUAACACAGGUGCUGCAUGGCUGUCGU